rnacentral:misc_RNA from 1 species
AAUGUUGUUCAACCCAUUUCCCUCAAAACCCUUUUUCUUACUCCCCUUUACAGUCCCAAAACCCUGAAUACUCUUUACCCCAAGCUCCAAGCACCUUCCAAAUCCCAAAAUUCAGCUAUUUUAACCUGUUCCUGGAAACCCCAGAAAGGAAUUUCCAAGUUUUUCAGUGAGAAGAUUGUUGUUUUACUUGUUGGGUCAUUCUUGUUUAUGGGUAU